AUCGAACCCGGAUAUAGCUGGUUCUCCUCGAAAUAGCUUUAGGGCUAGCCUGUCGCAAGAAUACCGAAGGUAGAGCACUGUAUGGUCUAGGGGGUUUCACGACCUACCGAAACUUAACAAACUUCGAAUGACGGAUAUUUGAUGCUAUGGAGUCAGACGGCGACAGAUAAGUGCCGUCGUCAAAAGGGAAACAGCCCAGAUCCGCAACUAAGGUCCCCAAGUACAGGUUAAGUGGAAAACGAUGUGUCAUUGCAUAAACAACCAGGAUGUUGGCUUAGAAGCAGCCACGCGUUCAAAGAGUGCGUAAUAGCUCACUGGUCGAGUGAUGGUGCGCGGAAGAUUCACGGGGCUAAAACCUGACACCGAAGUUCGGGAAUACAAUUUAAUGUAUUGGUAGAGGAGCAAUCUAUACGGGCGGAAGCGAUACCGAAAGGAGUCGUGGACUGUAUAGAAGAGAGAAUGCCGGCAUAAGUAGCGAGAGAGAGGCGAGAAACCUCUCCGUCGAGAGUCUGAGGUUUCCUGGGGAAGGUUCGUCCGCCCAGGGUUAGUCGGGGCCUAAGUCGAGGUCGAAAGGCGUAGAUGAUGGACAACCGGUGCAAAUUCCGGUACUACCGAAAUUCGUUUAAAUGAAGCAGUGACACAGGAGGAUAGUCAAACCGUGCGGAUGGAAAAGCGCGGCCAAGGCGAGGAACGGGCAUAGAGUGAAGUACCUAUGUAGGAAGUUUUGCGCUGAUGGGGAAGUGAAGAAAAGUAAAUAAGUUGACGAAUCCACGCUGGCGAGAAAAGUCGCUAAAUAAGGUCGGAGGCACCCGUACCGCAAACCGACACAGGUAGACGCGAAGAAAAUUCAUAGACGAACGGGAGAACCCUUGUUAAGGAACUCGGCAAAAUGACCCCGUAACUUCGGGAGAAGGGGAGCCACAGCGAUGUGGUCGCAGUGAAGAGGUCCAAGCAACUGUUUAUCAAAAACACAGGUCUCUGCGAAAUCGAAAGAUGACGUAUAGGGGCUGACGCCUGCCCAGUGCCGGAAGGUUAAGGGGAGAUGUUAGGAGCAAUCCGAAGCGUUGAACUUAAGCCCCGGUGAACGGCGGCCGUAACUAUAACGGUCCUAAGGUAGCGAAAUUCCUUGUCGGGUAAGUUCCGACCCGCACGAAAGGCGUAAUGAUUUGGACGCUGUCUCAACAGGGGGCCCGGCGAAAUUGUAGUAUACGUGAAGAUGCGUAUUAACCCGCGACUGGACGGAAAGACCCCGUAGAGCUUUACUGUAACUUGAUAUUGAUGCACGACAACGAAUGCACAGGAUAGGUGGGAGACUGAGAAGCAAGGACUUCGGUUUUUGCAGAGUCGUCGUUGGGAUACCACUCUUGCAUUGUUGGGCAUCUAACGGACGGCCGUGAACCGGCGUACGGACAGUGUCAGGUGGGCAGUUUGAC
rnacentral:rRNA from 1 species